rnacentral:SRP_RNA from 1 species
UGACAGGGUCUCUGCAGCGAGCUGCGGGUGAACCCCGCCAGGGUCGGAAGGCAGCAACGGUAAUUCGUUUGCUCGGGUGCCAGAGCAGCUCUGUCCAGC